UUAUUUUAGUUUAAAUAUUUUUAUUGUUUUCAGUUAUUAAAAAAUAUGGCUGAAACGUCUAAGGUGUUAAUGUAAUGCGUAAAACACAAUUAUUAAAACUGGAACAUAAAAAGAAAAUGACUAAUUUAGAUUGUCAUUGGAGACAACAUUAUUUUUUAGUAAAAAGCACAAGUUAAAAUCAUUGAAACAAUUGAGACUAUCCUUGUAUGCUAAAAUAUAACAUGAAUCAUACCAAGUAAAUAAUGAUAUUGUUGAUAGUGUCAUAAUGUGCUUGGAUUUUAAUUUGUCUUACCAAGUGUUAUAAAGUAAGAGUAAAAAAAAAAAGGAUGGUCAGGAAUUACAAGGACAAAAGUCUCGGCUAUUUAUUGCACGAAGAAAAAGAUACAACAAAAGGAUGACCAGGAAUUAAAUAGAUAAAUGUCGUCUCAAAUGACAAUUAACAAGGCUCUUGGAUUUUCAUUGACAUCAGAGAAUUUACAACUAAAAAUGGCAACAGAUACAAAAAAUAGAUAGCCAGUUAUUAUUUGGAAAGUAUGUCUAAAUAAGUUACAAAGAUCUUGGCACUUUAUUAAACAACAAAUGAUGUGAUCGAACUUAAUUAAUCUGCAUUGUGCUGACAUACAGAGAUGAAACUAAAGUGAGAUUAUUCGACGAGUAAGUGUGCUGUUUCAGCACGAUUAGCAAGUGGUGAAAAUGACGAUGAUCGUGAUGCCAGCACCACCAGUGAAAAUUUGAUUAUGAUUCCUGUGAAGCCCUUGCUGAGAUGGAUCCAAUAGAGUCCUUUUCAGUUUAUUCCAUGAUUUGUAAUUCGAGCUGAUUAACAACAAUGAUUUAAAAUUAAAAAUUUAUUAUAUAUUGAAAAAAAAAAAAAAUUGUCUUGAUAUUUAUCAUUUUUUUUUUGUCUUAGGAAAAAUCAUAUAACAUUGUCAAUUGUACCAUCUAAAUCAUCAUUCAUGCUCUAUUAAUGAAGUGCUUCAAACAUUAUUUCAACAAUCAUCAAAUGAAACAACAACAACAUGAAAAAUAUAGUAGAGAGACCAUCUUCAUAAUGUUAUGCUUCAACAAUGAUGAAUCCCUGAUGAUAAAAAAUUAUUCCUCAAUUAUUAUGAAUGUCAACUUCAAUUGGAUUUACAAAUAAUUGAAUUUGAAUAAGUCUCAACACUUGAAGAAUUAUUUAAUAUGAUUUUAUGAGAAAACUUUGUCUUUUUUUUUACUACGAAAUUGAAGACCAUGACAUGGUUCCGAUGUUGUUGAUUUUUAUGCUCUUUUUAAUGUACCACCACUUAUUGUUGAUGUUGUUAUUAUUGGUUGAACCUCGCUUUAGAGUUGCAAGAGCGCACUGCUCUCUGUUGAAAAAAAUGUACGAAAUAUUAUAACACAACUAGCUCGAGAUCCUCUUUUCAAAUUGAUAAAUCGUUUUCAAAUAAUAAUAGUAUUACAAAGUGAA